rnacentral:rRNA from 1 species
AGCGAACGCUGGCGGCAGGCUUAACACAUGCAAGUCGAGCGGGCAUCCUUGUGGUGUCAGCGGCAGACGGGUGAGUAGCGCGUGGGAACGUGCCCUUCGGUUCGGAAUAACUCAGGGAAACUUGAGCUAAUACCGGAUACGUGCGAGAGCAGAAAGGUUUAUCUGCCGAAGGAUCGGCCCGCGUCUGAUUAGCUAGUUGGUGAGGUUAUGGCUCACCAAGGCGACGAUCAGUAGCUGGUCUGAGAGGAUGAUCAGCCACACUGGGACUGAGACACGGCCCAGACUCCUACGGGAGGCAGCAGUGGGGAAUAUUGGACAAUGGGGGCAACCCUGAUCCAGCCAUGCCGCGUGAGUGAUGACGGCCUUAGGGUUGUAAAGCUCUUUUCUCCGGGACGAUAAUGACGGUACCGGAGGAAUAAGCCCCGGCUAACUUCGUG